ensembl:lncRNA
GUAAAUAUGGUUUUAAGUGUAAUAUAAUUUUUUAUGAUGUAUGUAAGACUGAAAAGAAACAACCCAAAUGUUUAUGAUUUACUAUUGACUACCUGUUGUUCUAUAUCUUCCCAGUAUCAUAAAACAAUAGAUAGUAAUUACUUCUAUAAUGAGGAAAGAAUACAAUGCAGACUACAUGAAAAUGACUUCUGUUCUUCUUAGUGCUCUGUGGAGACCAGAGCUGAGGAUGUCUCUUCUCCAGGUCGGACCUGGACUGUCUGGUUUCCAGACCCAAUUCAGAAAACACCACGCUUCAACAAAGUCUAAAGCUCGUAAUGAAGAAGCUAUAGAUCUGGGAUCUGAGAAGGAUGAACCCACGACCUUCAGGGAAGUGGCCAGGAAGCCGCGAGUUUAAGGGAACCAAACAGGUACCCACGUCUUGUCCUAGUUGCUCCUGGGGGCUGUCGGGGCCUCCUUGGGUUUUGUCUUCUGUCACUAGAAGUGUUCAAAGAUAAAGUAAUGCAUAUUUAAACUUUUAAGAGUUUUUUGGGGGCAAAAGUUCGCUUGACUCGAGUAGCGUCUACUCUAAGAGAUGGAAAGGGGCUCCGGGGAGCUGUGCAGAUGAACGUCUUUUGUAAGCAGACAUGAGGGGGAGUAAGGAGAUUAAUAAGGCAAAAGAGUGGGUUAUUGGUUAUUGCAAAGUUAGUUUCCUUUAGCCGGUGGCAGGGGUCUAUCAGGGGAAUGACCUGACACGUGCUGUUCCGCUGAUUCCUGAUUGGUUUAAAAUUCCGCUUCUGAGGGAGUUAAAACUGUAAGGAAAUGAAGUCUUGGUUUGGUGAUGUAGAGCAUGGCAUAAACAACUCCAUUUUGGGCCUAUUGUCUCGAUUUUAAUCCUUCCUUUUUCCUUUCUUCCUUCCGCCUCUCCUUUCUUCAACAACUAUUGAGUUAGUAUCAGGCAUUCAUGAGCAAAACAAAGCAGAUGUGAUUUCUAAUCUUCUAAUCUAAUGUGCUCAAUUAGUUUUAAUACACUGAUAGGAAAGUAAUCAUUUAUUUGGGUGCCCAGAAGGGUACAUAGUAUAGCCAGGUGGAGGGGAGACUGGAGAUGAGAGAUCAGAGCUUUCCCCCAGGGAGUGACUUCUAAGCUGAAACCUAAAGCAUUGACAAGAGUAAACCAGAUUGGGGGUGAGAGUGGGGCUUGGGGAAAUUCCAAGAAGGAAGGGCCUGAGAUGAAAUAGAAAUUCAGUGUGGGGAACAUCCAUUGUGUGCUGUGAAAUAAAUUAAGAUAAACGAGCCUAGAGAGGUAGAAG